rnacentral:tRNA from 1 species
GGCUGUAUAGCUCAGUGGUAGAGCAUUUGACUUCGGAAUCCUAUACUCAGGGGAAGGAGAACUGGGGGUUUCUCAGUGGGUCAAAGGAAUUGUACUGUAGUGGUAAACCAAAACCAACUCUCUUUAUAAGCUAUGUAACAAACAUUAAAGUCAUAUGUAGCUGGGUUCAAAUCCUAUUUCUGCCA